CAGCCACUGAUCUCAUCUUUCUUUACUUCCUGUAUCUCUGAACAUCUCAUAUAUUGGGCAUACAUCUUAACUCAUGUAAUUUCCUCCCUUUUUGCUAACAGGUGGUGUACACAAUCCCUGCAGUACUGACCCUGCUUGUUGGACUUAACCCUGAAGUCACAGGUAAUGUUAUUUGGAAAAGUAUCUCUGCAAUACACAUACUCUUUUGUACGGUGUGGGCUGUUGGCUUGGCGUCCUACCUCUUGCAUCGUACACAACAGAACAUCUUACAUGAGGAAGAAGGCAGGGAGCUGUCUGGUCUGGUGAUUAUUACAGCAUGGAUUAUCCUGUGCCACAGUUCCUCAAAGAAUCCAGUUGGUGGAAGAAUUCAAUUGGCUAUUGCCAUUGUAAUCACACUUUUCCCAUUUAUCUCAUGGGUCUACAUAUAUAUUAACAAGGAAAUGCGGUCCUCUUGGCCAACUCACUGCAAGACAGUAAUUUAAAUAAAUUCAAGAACUUCGUUUUUAAAA
rnacentral:lncRNA from 1 species